rnacentral:sRNA from 1 species
CCCUAGCCCUGAUAGAAGCGACAUCUCCCGAUCUUAAAAAAACAAGGCUCUUUUUGCCGUAGUUUUUUUAAGAUCGGGAAUAUAGCGGAUAGCAGGAAAUAGC